CACCGAGCCGGGCAGCCGACCGCACCGCGCCGCCGCCAGACCGAGCGCCGUCCGAGCGCCGUCAACCCCAGCUCCAGUCCACUGCUCUAGGCGCCGUCAACCCUGCGUCCAAGAAUGCAGCAGCCUCACGCCGGCGCAUCAGGUCCCAACAGCGGGCACUCCUCGGCGGCCACCAUCGUCGGCUCGUCGGCGGGGGCUCGUCAGCAGCAGCAAGAGGCAACUCACGCCCGAACCCUCGAUCCGUGGCCCCGUCGUGCAGCUCGGUAAUGUUGUUGCUUUACCAACGAUGACAGUCCACUUAGUAUGGUUUACAACUAUUAGUAACUUUGCUCAUAUUAUUGUGAUGGAUAAUGACAGCGCCAUGGAUGUCGAUGAUAUUUGUGACAACAAUGUGUCCCAUGAAGAUGAAAUACAUGGUAGUAGGGAGGAUGUUAAUGGUAACAACAGUGAACACAUGGUGGAGGACCAUGUUCCUGCACCUAGUGAGGUGAAUGUCCUGUGCCAACAAGUUAGUCGUGGAAAAAACAAGUCCAUAGAUGGAGACCAUCGUGUAGAGAAAUGUGCAAGAGAAUGUGACCUAGACCCUAAAAAAUCUCUUUCCUUGGAUGUUGCAACAAGAUGGAAUUCCACAUAUAUUAUGGUUAGAGAUGCCAUUUACUAUAAGAAUGCUUUUGAUCGCCUUGCAAAAAAAGAAAAGGAUAGAUAUGGUCAUAUCAAUCCUUCAGCUAAUGAUUGGUUGAAUGCAUUAAACAUUAGCAAGUGUUUGAAGAAGUUCUAUGAUGUCACAUUACUUUUUUCUGGCACUUCAUAUCCUACUGCAAAUCAUUUCUUUCGUAAAUUCUCUGAGAUAAAGAUGGCUAUUGCAAGAUGGUGUGAUAGUAGUGAUCCCAUAAUCUGCACCAUGGCAUAUUCUAUGAGAGACAAGUUUGAUAAGUAUUGGGAAAUGAACAAUAUGGCUUUGGCAGUGGGAGCAUUUCUUGAUCCUAGGUACAAACAUAGAAUGGUUGAGCUAUACAUGUCUAAGAUGUAUGAUAGUGAGAUGGCUGAUUUGGAGAAAAUGGCAUUCAUGAAUGUUAUUAAUGAAUUAUUUUCUUGCUAUUCAUCAACCAUCAAUGCAAAAUCAACCAAAAAAGGGACUAGCUCGAAGGAUUUUGUUCCAAAUAAACAAGUUUUGAUGGCUGAUGAUGAUGAGAAUGAGGUUGAUCUUGAUGAGUUGUAUGCAGCAACAGACAAUGAGAAGAAAGUGUCAGAAUUGGAUCUAUACAUGAGUGAGGGCCUAGUGAAGGCUAAUGAAAGUGAUGCACCAUUUAAUGCCUUAUCAUGGUGGAAGGGUCAAGUGACAAAUUUCCCUAUUCUUUCUACCCUUGCUCGUGAUGUACUAUCAAUGCAGGUGUCAACUGUUGCUUCAGAGUCGGCAUUUAGCUCUGGUGGACGCGUGGUUGAUGCCUUUCGUUCGAAGCUUAAACCUGAAAUUAUUGAAGCCUUGGUUUGUACUAAGGAUUGGAAGAUUGCUUCAGAGAAAGGUUUCAUUUUAUUGUGCAUGUGUUCUUGUAUUUCUCUAUGACUAAAUGAUGAUGAUGGUUAUUGAUAUGUUUUGUUGUUCUCUAUUGGUUUCAGAUUUGGAGUGUGAAAUAAAAACUAUAGCUGAAGCUAUGAAUGCUAUGGAGGUGGACGAUGAUGUCGCGACUUGAGAUCUUCAAACAAGCAUGGAUUGCUUGCACUAUUUUAUGCCAUUUGAAAACUACCUUUUAUUGUAAUAGUCUAU
rnacentral:lncRNA from 1 species